CAACUCUAAGCACAGCAUUCUUCUUAGCCCCAGACAUACAGAAGAUUUCCAAAAGGCACAGUCAAGUUCUACAGAUCUUGUGUUCAAUACUUGAUACAAGUAACACACAAAGCCUGGGAGAAAGCGGAUGGAGCAAACCCUGGGACCAGUUUGGACGGUGACAGUGAAUCUGUUUCUAAAGAUCAUUCUCUGCUGCUGCUGCUGCUAAGUCGCUUCAGUCGUGUCUGACUCUGUGUGACCCCAUAGACGGCAGCCCACCAGGCUCCCCCGUCCCUGGGGUUCUCCAAACAAGAACACUGGAGUGGGUUGCCAUUUCCUUCUCCAGUGCAUGAAAGUGAAAAGUGAAAGUGAAGUCGCUCAGUCAUGUCCAACUCUUCGAGACCCCAUGGACUGCAGCCCACCAGGCUCCUCCGUCCAUGGGAUUUUCCAGUGCAAAGUCUGGGCUUCAGUUUCUUCAUCUAUAAUACAGAGAAGAUUGACUCAGAGGCCUUCAAACUGUGCUCCACAGAGGACUCUAGACUUCCUGGAAGAGCUCCAUGGUCUACUUUGAAGAACAAAGGCCACACACCAGGUUUCAACCAGAGAAGCUCCAUUUCUAUCUAUUUGUAUCUAUGAAGCUCCAUUUUUAUCUAUUAUACAUUAGGCUGUGAAUAAUAGUUCAUUUGAAAAAAAAAAGGAAUGAGGCUAGAUGUCAGUAAAAUGGCAAAAUAGGCAGAUCCAAACACCUGCCCCCAAAGAGUACUACUCACAAUAGUCAAAAAUCAGAUGCCCACUGAUGGAAGAAUGGAUAAACAAAUUGUAGUGUAUGCAGAGAAUGGAAUGUUACUCACCCAUAAAAAGGAAAUACUGAUAUAUGCUACCAUGUGGACAAACCUCCAAAACAUGAUACUAGUUGAAAGAAACCAGACACAAAAGGCCAUAUGUUACAUCAUUCCGUUUAUGUGCAAGAUCCAGAAUAGAUAAAUCCAUAGAGAGGGAACACAUGUUGGUAGUUUCCACAGGCAGAUGGAGGGAGGAAUAGGGAGAAACUGCUUAAUGUGUACAGGGUUUUACUCUGGAGUGAUCAAACUAUUCUGGAAUUAGCUAAAUAGAAAUGGUGGUUGCACAAAAUUAUAAAUGUACUAAAUUCCACUGAAAUGUUCAUUUGAAAAUGAAUCAUUUCACUUUAACAG
ensembl:lncRNA